CCUGGCUCAGGAUGAACGCUAGCGACAGGCUUAACACAUGCAAGUCGAGGGGCAGCAUAAAAGUAGCAAUACUUGGUGGCGACCGGCGCACGGGUGAGUAACGCGUAUGCAACCUACCUAUCAGAGGGGAAUAACCCGGCGAAAGUCGGACUAAUACCGCAUAAAACAGGGACACCGCAUGGUGAUAUUUGUUAAAGAAAUUCGCUGAUAGAUGGGCAUGCGUUCCAUUAGGUAGUUGGUGAGGUAACGGCUCACCAAGCCGACGAUGGAUAGGGGAACUGAGAGGUUGGUCCCCCACACUGGUACUGAGACACGGACCAGACUCCUACGGGAGGCAGCAGUGAGGAAUAUUGGUCAAUGGGCGAGAGCCUGAACCAGCCAAGUCGCGUGAAGGAAGAAGGAUCUAUGGUUCGUAAACUUCUUUUGCAGGGGAAUAAAGUGCAGGACGUGUCCUGUUUUGUAUGUACCCUGAGAAUAAGGAUCGGCUAACUCCGUGCCAGCCGCCGC
rnacentral:rRNA from 1 species